rnacentral:rRNA from 1 species
AUUGAACGCUGGCGGCAUGCCUUACACAUGCAAGUCGAACGGCAGCACGGGUGCUAGCACCUGGUGGCGAGUGGCGAACGGGUGAGUAAUACAUCGGAACGUACCUUAUCGUGGGGGAUAACGCAGCGAAAGCUGUGCUAAUACCGCAUACGCCCUGAGGGGGAAAGCGGGGGAUCGCAAGACCUCGCGCGAUUAGAGCGGCCGAUGCCUGAUUAGCUUGUUGGUGGGGUAAAAGCCCACCAAGGCGACGAUCAGUAGCUGGUCUGAGAGGACGAUCAGCCGAACGGGGACUGGGACACGGGCCAGACUCCUACGGGAGGCAGCAGUGGGGAAUUUUGGACAAUGGGGGCAACCCUGAUCCAGCAAUGCAGCGUGAGUGAAGAAGGCCUUCGGGUUGUAAAGCUCUUUUGUCAGGGAAGAAACACCGGCUCUAACACAGUCUGGGAAUGACGGUACCUGAAGAAUAAGCACCGGCUAACUACGUGCCAGCCGCCGCCGUAA